CCUACGGGCGGCAGCAGUGAGGAAUAUUGGUCAAUGGGCUUACGCCUGAACCAGCCAAGUCGCGUGAGGGAAGACUGCCCUAUGGGUUGUAAACCUCUUUUGUCAGGGAGCAAUUGGCGCUACGUGUAGCGUUAUCGAGAGUACCUGACGAAAAAGCAUCGGCUAACUCCGUGCCAGCAGCCGCGGGAAUACGGAGGAUGCGAGCGUUAUCCGGAUGUAUUGGUUUUAAAGGGUGCGUAGGCGGAAUGCCAAGUCAGCGGUAAAAUCGCGGGGCUCAACCUCGCUCCGCCGUUGAAACUGGCUUUCUUGAGUGGGCGAGAAGUAUGCGGAAUGCGUGGUGUAGCGGUGAAAUGCAUAGAUAUCACGCAGAACUCCGAUUGCGAAGGCAGCAUACCGGCGCCCAACUGACGCUGAAGCACGAAAGCGUGGGUAUCGAACAGGAUUAGAUACCCUGGUAGUC
rnacentral:rRNA from 1 species